rnacentral:rRNA from 1 species
AGAGUUUGAUCCUGGCUCAGGAUGAACGCUAGCGGCAGGCUUAAUACAUGCAAGUCGUGGGGCAGCAUGAGUGUAGCAAUACAUUUGAUGGCGACCGGCAAACGGGUGCGGAACACGUACACAACCUUCCUUUAAGUGGAGAAUAGCCCAGGGAAACUUGGAUUAAUACUCCGUAACAUAUAGAAGUGGCAUCACUUUUAUAUUAUAGCUCCGGCGCUUAGAGAUGGGUGUGCGGCUGAUUAGGUAGUUGGCGGGGUAACGGCCCACCAAGCCUACGAUCAGUAACUGGUGUGAGAGCACGACCAGUCACACGGGCACUGAGACACGGGCCCGACUCCUACGGGAGGCAGCAGUAAGGAAUAUUGGUCAAUGGACGCAAGUCUGAACCAGCCAUGCCGCGUGGAGGAUGAAGGUCCUCUGGAUUGUAAACUUCUUUUAUCUGGGAAGAAAAAGGACUUUUCUAAGUCAACUGACGGUACCAGAUGAAUAAGCACCGGCUAACUCCGUGCCAGCAGCCGCGGUAAUACGGAGGGUGCAAGCGUUAUCCGGAUUCACUGGGUUUAAAGGGUGCGUAGGUGGGCAGGUAAGUCAGUGGUGAAAUCUCCGGGCUUAACCCGGAAACUGCCAUUGAUACUAUCUGUCUUGAAUACCCUGGAGGUGAGCGGAAUAUGUCAUGUAGCGGUGAAAUGCUUAGAUAUGACAUAGAACACCCAUUGCGAAGGCAGCUCACUACAGGAAUAUUGACACUGAGGCACGAAAGCGUGGGGAUCAAACAGGAUUAGAUACCCUGGUAGUCCACG